rnacentral:rRNA from 1 species
UGUUUCGGCUAGGGGGUCAUCCCGACUUACCAACCCGAUGCAAACUACGAAUACCGAAGAAUGUUAUCACGGGAGACACACGGCGGGUGCUAACGUCCGUCGUGAAGAGGGAAACAACCCAGACCGCCAGCUAAGGUCCCAAAGUCACAGUUAAGUGGGAAACGAUGUGGGAAGGCACAGACAGCCAGGAUGUUGGCUUAGAAGCAGCCAUCAUUUAAAGAAAGCGUAAUAGCUCACUGGUCGAGUCGGCCUGCGCGGAAGAUGUAACGGGGCUAAACUGUGCACCGAAGCUGCGGCAGCGACACUAUGUGUUGUUGGGUAGGGGAGCGUUCUGUAAGCCUGCGAAGGUGGCCUGUGAGGGUUGCUGGAGGUAUCAGAAGUGCGAAUGCUGACAUAAGUAACGAUAAUGCGGGUGAAAAGCCCGCACGCCGGAAGACCAAGGGUUCCUGUCCAACGUUAAUCGGGGCAGGGUGAGUCGACCCCUAAGGCGAGGCCGAAAGGCGUAGUCGAUGGGAAACAGGUUAAUAUUCCUGUACUUGGUGUUACUGCGAAGGGGGGACGGAGAAGGCUAUGUUAGCCGGGCGACGGUUGUCCCGGUUUAAGCAUGUAGGCGGAGGUUCCAGGUAAAUCCGGUACCUUUUAACGCUGAGGUGUGAUGACGAGGCACUACGGUGCUGAAGUAACAAAUGCCCUGCUUCCAGGAAAAGCCUCUAAGCAUCAGGUAACAUUAAAUCGUACCCCAAACCGACACAGGUGGUCAGGUAGAGAAUACCAAGGCGCUUGAGAGAACUCGGGUGAAGGAACUAGGCAAAAUGGUGCCGUAACUUCGGGAGAAGGCACGCUGAUAUGUAGGUGAAGCCCCUGCGGGUGGAGCUGAAAUCAGUCGAAGAUACCAGCUGGCUGCAACUGUUUAUUAAAAACACAGCACUGUGCAAACACGAAAGUGGACGUAUACGGUGUGACGCCUGCCCGGUGCCGGAAGGUUAAUUGAUGGGGUUAUCCGUAAGGAGAAGCUCUUGAUCGAAGCCCCGGUAAACGGCGGCCGUAACUAUAACGGUCCUAAGGUAGCGAAAUUCCUUGUCGGGUAAGUUCCGACCUGCACGAAUGGCGUAAUGAUGGCCAGGCUGUCUCCACCCGAGACUCAGUGAAAUUGAACUCGCUGUGAAGAUGCAGUGUACCCGCGGCAAGACGGAAAGACCCCGUGAACCUUUACUAUAGCUUGACACUGAACAUUGAGCCUUGAUGUGUAGGAUAGGUGGGAGGCUUUGAAGCGUGGACGCCAGUCUGCGUGGAGCCAACCUUGAAAUACCACCCUUUAAUGUUUGAUGUUCUAACGUUGGCCCCUUAUCGGGGUUGCGGACAGUGUCUGGUGGGUAGUUUGACUGGGGCGGUCUCCUCCCAAAGAGUAACGGAGGAGCACGAAGGUUAGCUAAUCCUGGUCGGACAUCAGGAGGUUAGUGCAAUGGCAUAAGCUAGCUUGACUGCGAGCGUGACGGCGCGAGCAGGUGCGAAAGCAGGUCAUAGUGAUCCGGUGGUUCUGAAUGGAAGGGCCAUCGCUCAACGGAUAAAAGGUACUCCGGGGAUAACAGGCUGAUACCGCCCAAGAGUUCAUAUCGACGGCGGUGUUUGGCACCUCGAUGUCGGCUCAUCACAUCCUGGGGCUGAAGUAGGUCCCAAGGGUAUGGCUGUUCGCCAUUUAAAGUGGUACGCGAGCUGGGUUUAGAACGUCGUGAGACAGUUCGGUCCCUAUCUGCCGUGGGCGCUGGAGAAUUGAGGGGGGCUGCUCCUAGUACGAGAGGACCGGAGUGGACGCAUCACUGGUGUUCGGGUUGUCAUGCCAAUGGCAUUGCCCGGUAGCUAAAUGCGGAAGAGAUAAGUGCUGAAAGCAUCUAAGCACGAAACUUGCCCCGAGAUGAGUUCUCCCUGAGACUUUAAGUCUCCUGAAGGAACGUUAAAGACGAUGACGUUGAUAGGUCGGGUGUGUAAGCGUAGCGAUACGUUGAGCUAACCGAUACUAAUGAACCGUGAGG